CAUUUCAUUGGAAUUAAAAUGUGCAUAUGUAUAAAGGUUUCUUGGGUAUUUUUUUUUUUCUUUUAACACCUUGCCUUUCAUUUCUUGUAUGUUUCUUCCCGCUGGAAAUUACUACUUGGUGCUAUUUUUUCUAAUCCUAUGUUAAAGCAGCUUUCCAUUAAUUCCAGAGUUUCUGUACUUUUCAGUGGUCAGAUGUGAACAUCCAGUACUUGUGAAUGGAAGACUGGUAUCAGGAGUCAGAGAAACCUAUUCCUACCAAGCAGUGGUUCUAUUUGAAUGCCUCCCAGGUUUCUAUCUUAAUGGCAGCAACCCAGUGUUCUGUGGUGGGAGAAAUACUUGGGAACCUGAGAUGCCGACAUGUAUUAAAGGUUUCAAGCCUACUCAUCCAACCAAACCUCCAGUUUCAAAGUAUCCAGGCUAUCCUGAGCCCAAUGAAUCAGCAUUAUUCGAAGAACUGGAGGAAUUAGAUGCAGGUAUCAUUGCUGUGAUUAUUCUUACUAUCCGUAAGUAGCCCAAACUUCAAUGCCACUUAAAUCAAAAUAGUAUUGCGAGGAAGUGCAUUAUUUUUUUAAGUGACUUUUCAGUUUCUGUGGUUUUUAUAGCUUGAAAUGAAGUACAGCAGUCUAGAACAGUCUGACCUUGUAUAUGAUACUACACGUUUUGCUGGUGAAUGUAUAUUCUUUUAUAUUCCACUUGUCCACUUAG